AUGAUUUUAGGUGCUUGCACUUGAAAGAUUUAACAUUGAGACGAGUGGCGAACUGGUGAGUAACACGUGGGUAACCUGCCCUUGAAGUAGGGGAUAACACUUGGAAACAGGUGCUAAUACCGUAUAACAACCAAAACCACCUGGUUUUGGUUUAAAAGACGGCUUCGGCUGUCACUUUAGGAUGGACCCGCGGCGUAUUAGCUUGUUGGUAAGGUAACGGCCUACCAAGGCGAUGAUACGUAGCCGACCUGAGAGGGUAAUCGGCCACAUUGGGACUGAGACACGGCCCAAACUCCUACGGGAGGCAGCAGUAGGGAAUCUUCCACAAUGGACGAAAGUCUGAUGGAGCAACGCCGCGUGAGUGAUGAAGGGUUUCGGCUCGUAAAACUCUGUUGUUGGAGAAGAACAGGUGUCAGAGUAACUGUUGACAUCUUGACGGUAUCCAACCAGAAAGCCACGGCUAACUACGUGCCAGCAGCCGCGGUAAUACGUAGGUGGCAAGCGUUGUCCGGAUUUAUUGGGCGUAAAGCGAGCGCAGGCGGUUUUUUAGGUCUGAUGUGAAAGCCUUCGGCUUAACCGGAGAAGUGCAUCGGAAACCGGGAGACUUGAGUGCAGAAGAGGACAGUGGAACUCCAUGUGUAGCGGUGAAAUGCGUAGAUAUAUGGAAGAACACCAGUGGCGAAGGCGGCUGUCUGGUCUGUAACUGACGCUGAGGCUCGAAAGCAUGGGUAGCGAACAGGAUUAGAUAC
rnacentral:rRNA from 1 species